rnacentral:tRNA from 1 species
GGUGGUUCAGUGGUAGAAUGUUUGCCUUGCAUGCAUGAGGCGCUGGGUUCGAGUCCUCAGCACCA